CGUUCAGGGCGCAGCCUCCGCAGCCUGGGUGCCUGAGCCUGAACUCUUAGCAGCUGCCGGCCGUUGGGCAAGUUGCUUUAACUCUCUGCACCUCCGCUUCCCCACUUGUAAAGUGGGAUAAUCACAGUGUAGCUAUUGUGAUGAUCAAACUAGUACAAGUAUAAGUACAUAGAACAGAGCCUAGCACACAGUGCAGUUAUUUGCGUUAAACACAAAACACUGUGCUGUCCUUACUGCUUCAGAAGCUUCAGCUCAUCCUGGACUUUACCUUUCCUUCUACUUGCCUUCCAGGUUCCGGCUCCUUUGCAUGAGACUCCGGACAUUGUCUUCUCUUUCUAGCUUGUUGUCACGUCCUUGUAGCCCCCAACUGGACUGAAUCCACACACCAGUCACGUUAUAACUCUGUUUUUCAGGGUGCCUCCUAACCCGUCCCCCAUUUUAGCCCCUCACCGUGGGUUCAUUUGAAACGUAACUCGCCCCUUUGAAAUCUCCUUCCUAAAAACAUAAGGCACACGUCUAAGUAAGCCCAGUGUUCCCUUCAGAACACUCACACUAAGUUCAGAGCACUGGUCCUCGUGUUGCUUCCUUGCUCUUCUGAGACAUAAAUCCAGGAGUUAAAGCAGGUCAACGUUUAGCACAAUUAGAUUUCUUGAAGCUCUCCAACCAACAAUGACUUUUCAGUACCUUUAUGACAGUUUCCUAAGUAGUUACUGUAACGGGAUGUUCACAUGAUACUCCUCCCGUAUGAAAAUUUGGGUGAGACCCCCAAGCUGAGAACCGCCCUCAGAGGGUGUUAGAUCGUCUGUGGAGGGCUGGCACGCGGUGGUCCAAAACUGGUUCCGUCACCCACCUCAAGAGCUUAGAAGAGGAGGCUAGGAAUUUAUUAGAACUUUGAAGCAGCCGGUGGCAAGGAUUGGUUUGAAGAGAGUUGGCAGGAGUUGUGCAUUCCCACCACUCCGUCCCCGGCCCACCCACCCCCUGCUUCGGGGGAGGGGGGUGUAUUUCCCCAUCACCUUAAGCAAGCGAGAGACAUGAGAAACCGCUCGGAGAGCUCUAUCUGUGAGGCUCAGAAUUGGGUGGGUGCAGACUGGUAGCUGCCUACCAUCUGCAAAGCCCAAAGAAAAGAUGUGAUUGAAACCGCUCCUGCCAGGGAGCAGAGUACAGAGACAGGGCUUGGGAGGGCAGGUACCCUGACUUCGGGGUGCACUAGGGGCUGUGGGCCAAGGGGGGAGUGACCAGCUGCAUGCGACUCUGGCUUCAUUAAAAGCACUGCAGGCUGGGGACUCCCAUGACGUUGGGCGAGGUGCCAAGGGAAGACCCUCAAAGAACCCAUGAAAGUGCUAAGUAGGAGAAAGAAGCAUCCUGACUUCAGACUGCAGUGCUCUCGACCAGGUGAGCCCUUUCUCGCUUCCACCCUUUCCUUCACGCUUCUCCUGUUUUGGGGGAGCCUGAAUCGAGAAGAGUUCCAACAGUGAUGGAGCCAACGAGCUCCUACACCACCGCCAGCUCCUAAUCUUGCAUCUGGCCCAAGCUGGCAGGAAGAGAGGGCUCUAAAUUGUAUGACAAACUUGAAUCCUGGAUUGAACUGGACAUUUUUAUUGUCUGAAAAAUGGGACGACUUGUUAAUUCCACAGGACCUGCCUGAGAUUUCAUCCAGGAGCAAAGAAGAAGCACUCGACUUAGCACAGAAAAAAAUAGCAUAAUUGCUUUCUUCUUGCACUCUUUUGAGUCCAGCUCAUUUAAGGAAACGGUGACUCAGUAACAAGAAAGCAGAAGCCUUAUCCUCUAGGGUCUAGAUGGUCUGUGGACACAGAGGAUGAUUUGGUUGGAGUCUUGGAAGUAUGAUCCUCACAUUAAGAGGUUCUUAUGCAUUAGGAACCCGCGCCCUGAGCGAUGGCCCUUUAAUCCUUUCUCCUUUUAGUUUCAUCCAUAUGCUCUGAUCGUCCUUCAUCAUGAAUAAAAGAUGCUAUAGGACCAGGGGGAGUUCCUGUUGCCAUCCUCAGGAGGGAGCUGAGCUCAAGGACAUGACAGACAUGGGAAACAUUUGGCAAAAGACUGAACCCAAGGAGUGAGCGGGAAGCUUAGCCUCCAAGGCUGGACACAGGGUCUCUCUGGUGGUAGCACCGCGUGCACAAGUUCAGCACUUCACGGUGGCUGAGUGUGGGUGAGGGUUGUGGAAGCAAGCAGGUGAGUAAGAGCUCAGGGUGUGGCCCCCCCAAAAGACGGGGGAAAGUUGAGGGUGAAGAGAGGGGGAGGAGGACUGGGUGGAAGAGGAGGUCUGAGGAAGUUAGAAGGGCUCUGGCAGUGGGUUGCCAGACUUGGCAAAUAAAAACACAAGACGUCCAGUCCUUUGUUUUAUCUGGUCAUUCUACUCUAGAGACUGUUGGACCAGGGGAGUGAGAAUCAAUAUCUUUAGCAUUUGCUAUUGCAGCCAGUGGAGUCAUCCAGAAUUAAAGAGAGUGAAACAGUGUGGAAAUAGAGUGUUCUCCAUGUGAAUCAGAGACAGGGCAAACGUUAGAAAUACUAAGAUGCAUCAACUAUCAUCACCAGGAAACAGUCAUAUGGAAGGCACAUUGCUUGCUUUGGUGAUGGGAAAGACACUAGAGAGAGCAAAUUUACAUUACCUGCUUUAAAGAAAUACGACUUAGAUAUAAAUGACUCUAAGGGAAGUCACAUAACAACGUAAAACAUAUUAAAAAAGACCUCAGUAAAAUAAAAACAUGGGAAUAAACUCAAGAUAAUUGAAGGAGACAGUGGAGAAGAGACCCCAACACAUAUUCAGAGGAAGUGAAGAGAAUAAAAGCCCGUUGAUGGAUCAUCAGAUCCCGAAGCCAUAUUCCAGAAUGGGGGUGGGGAUAGAGGGGUGGGGAUGCAGAGGAGAGAAUUUCAGGUGUCUGCAGAUGCGCUGGCCGUGGGCGGCACCCCACGCUCUCCUCACCCACCCCCGAGUUUGGAGCCUCCGCAGCCAAAUUCCAGGCAAAAAGCAGAGCUCCCUUUUCUACAGUUGUUGACAUCUUUCUGAGAAUUAGGGCUUCCAGACCCCUGGAUAACUGCCCCCCAGGUUUUGACACUUGAGAGCCUCCCAGGCAGACUCUUCUUUCUGCUCAACCAGAGUGAAGCCUGCCUGUCAGUAAAGCCGCAUAAAAUGGUGGCAUGUGGACAUUACCACGGAAGGGUAAUGAAUGGAAUCCAUUUAACCUGAGGGCACAGCAGCACAUGCUUCCUGACACUGGGCCCAUAGUAUAAUCCUAGCUCCGCGCCUGCCUCAGUGUUUAUGGAAAGAACUGAUUUGAUGUAUCAACGAUUUCAGGUUGUAUUAAAGUUUAUUGGUUUCCCACCUUGACAAUCAGACUAAUAGAACACAGAAGACUUAAAUAUGCUUAUAGGAAAAAAUGUGAUAUGAUCAACCGUGACAGUGUGAAAGUAAAUUGCAGCUGUCGGAGAAUGAGAAGGGUAUAAGAAGAAGGGUGGAGCGCUCAUAUCUUAAUCUAGUUUAGUUGGGAAUCAAGAGGUACUUUCUAUGUAAAUCAGUGUAGCCAUUAUGGGAAAUAGUAUGGAGCUUCCUCAAAAAAUUAAAAGUUGAACUACCAUACGAUCCAGCAAUCCCACUUCUGGGUAUAUAUCCAAAGAAAAUGUAAACAGGAUCUCAUAGAGAUACCUGCUUUCCCAUGUUCAUUGCAGCAUUAUUUACAAUAGACAAGGAAACAAGCCAAGUAUCCAUCAAUGGAUGAAUGGAUAAAGAUUUGGUGUACAUAUACCAGAAACAAUUCUUGCGAGUGACAAGAACAUUUCAGUACAAUAUUUUCAGGUGGUUGGGUAGUUUGAUAUGCUAUGAUUUCCAAUUUUCACUGCUGAACUUUCAAAUCUCAUUAAAACAGCUCUUUGUUGCUAUUUGCUGAGUUAAAUCAGCAGUGAUUCAGCAAAUAAGCAGACAUAACAGGUUUCCUCUUGGCAGGUAGAAUCAUGGACCUCCAAAAUAUACGAUUGAGAAAGUGAUUUCAGAGCUAAAGCAUUGGGGGUGCCUUUAUAAGGAUUGUCUUCUGUCAAUCCUAACUGCUCUUUACAAGUGAAUGACU